rnacentral:rRNA from 1 species
UAAGACGAACCGUGCAAACGUUGUUCGGAAUCACUGGGCUUAAAGGGCGCGUAGGCGGGCUGUCAAGUCAGGGGUGAAAUCUUUCGGCUUAACCGGAAAACUGCCUCUGAUACUGACGGCCUUGAGGGAGGUAGGGGCAUGUGGAACUUCCGGUGGAGCGGUGAAAUGCGUUGAUAUCGGAAGGAACGCCGGUGGCGAAAGCGACGUGCUGGAUCUCUUCUGACGCUGAGGCGCGAAAGCUAGGGGAGCGAACGGGAUUAGAUACCCCGGUAGUCCUAGCCCUAAACGAUGGGUACUAGGUUGUGGACUUGACAUGGGUUCACAGCCGAAGCAAAAGUGGUAAGUACCCCGCCUGGGGAGUAUGGUCGCAAGGCUG